rnacentral:lncRNA from 1 species
UGAGUUCGACAUUCCCAGAAGGGGGAUAGACGUCGAUAUUUGGCAAGGAAUUCGAUGCCUUCAAAAGAGAAGGCCAGGAUCGACAUUCCGCAGGAAAGCAUGUUCGACAUUCCCAGGAAAAAAGGGGAUAGGCGUCAACAUUUGGCAAGGAAUUCGAAUCCUUCAAAAGAGAAGGAUCGACAUUCCACACUACUCUGAUCGACAUCCUCAGAAAAAGGUGGGAUCGACAUUUUUGGGCAACAUCGACAUUUCCAGGGAGAAAUGAGGUCGACUUGUCAAAAAUCCGACACCUUUAGAAAAGGAUCAGCAGUCCUCAACAUCCUCAGAAAAAGGUGGGAUCGACGUUUUUGGCAACAUCGACAUUUCCAGGGAGAAAUGAGAUCGACUUGUCAAAAAUUCGACACCUUUAGAAAAGGAUCAGCAGUCAUCGACAUCCUCAGAAAAAGGUGGGAUCGACAUUUUUG